UACGUAGGGCGCAAGCGUUGUCCGGAAUUAUUGGGCGUAAAGAGCUCGUAGGCGGUUUGUCGCGUCUGCUGUGAAAACCUAAGGCUCAACCUUGGGCUUGCAGUGGGUACGGGCAGACUAGAGUGCGGUGGGGGUGACUGGAAUUCCUGGUGUAGCGGUGGAAUGCGCAGAUAUCAGGAGGAACACCGAUGGCGAAGGCAGGUCACUGGGCCGCAACUGACGCUGAGGAGCGAAAGCAUGGGGAGCGAACAGG
rnacentral:rRNA from 1 species